rnacentral:rRNA from 1 species
UACGUAGGGUGCAAGCGUUGUCCGGAAUUAUAGGGCGUAAAGGGCUCGUAGGCGGUUUGUCGCGUCGGGAGUGAAAACUCAGGGCUUAACCCUGAGCCUGCUUCCGAUACGGGCAGACUAGAGGUAUGCAGGGGAGAAUGGAAUUCCUGGUGUAGCGGUGAAAUGCGCAGAUAUCAGGAGGAACACCGGUGGCGAAGGCGGUUCUCUGGGCAUUACCUGACGCUGAGGAGCGAAAGUGUGGGGAGCGAACAGG